rnacentral:rRNA from 1 species
CAGCAGCCGCGGGAAUACGUAGGUGGCAAGCGUUGUCCGGAAUUAUUGGGCGUAAAGGGCUCGCAGGCGGUUUCUUAAGUCUGAUGUGAAAGCCCCCGGCUCAACCGGGGAGGGUCAUUGGAAACUGGGAAACUUGAGUGCAGAAGAGGAGAGUGGAAUUCCGCGUGUAGCGGUGAAAUGCGUAGAGAUGUGGAGGAACACCAGUGGCGAAGGCGACUCUCUGGUCUGUAACUGACGCUGAGGAGCGAAAGCGUGGGGAGCGAACAGGAUUAGAUACCCCCGUAGUCCCUGUCUCUUAUCC